GGGUUGUGAGGUUAAGCGACUAAGCGUACACGGUGGAUGCCCUGGCAGUCAGAGGCGAUGAAGGACGUGCUAAUCUGCGAUAAGCGUCGGUAAGGUGAUAUGAACCGUUAUAACCGGCGAUUUCCGAAUGGGGAAACCCAGUGUGUUUCGACACACUAUCAUUAACUGAAUCCAUAGGUUAAUGAGGCGAACCGGGGGAACUGAAACAUCUAAGUACCCCGAGGAAAAGAAAUCAACCGAGAUUCCCCCAGUAGCGGCGAGCGAACGGGGAGGAGCCCAGAGCCUGAAUCAGUGUGUGUGUUAGUGGAAGCGUCUGGAAAGGCGCGCGAUACAGGGUGACAGCCCCGUACACAAAAAUGCACAUGCUGUGAGCUCGAUGAGUAGGGCGGGACACGUGGUAUCCUGUCUGAAUAUGGGGGGACCAUCCUCCAAGGCUAAAUACUCCUGACUGACCGAUAGUGAACCAGUACCGUGAGGGAAAGGCGAAAAGAACCCCGGCGAGGGGAGUGAAAAAGAACCUGAAACCGUGUACGUACAAGCAGUGGGAGCCUCUUUUAUGGGGUGACUGCGUACCUUUUGUAUAAUGGGUCAGCGACUUAUAUUCUGUAGCAAGGUUAACCGAAUAGGGGAGCCGAAGGGAAACCGAGUCUUAACUGGGCGUUAAGUUGCAGGGUAUAGACCCGAAACCCGGUGAUCUAGCCAUGGGCAGGUUGAAGGUUGGGUAACACUAACUGGAGGACCGAACCGACUAAUGUUGAAAAAUUAGCGGAUGACUUGUGGCUGGGGGUGAAAGGCCAAUCAAACCGGGAGAUAGCUGGUUCUCCCCGAAAGCUAUUUAGGUAGCGCCUCGUGAAUUCAUCUCCGGGGGUAGAGCACUGUUUCGGCAAGGGGGUCAUCCCGACUUACCAACCCGAUGCAAACUGCGAAUACCGGAGAAUGUUAUCACGGGAGACACACGGCGGGUGCUAACGUCCGUCGUGAAGAGGGAAACAACCCAGACCGCCAGCUAAGGUCCCAAAGUCAUGGUUAAGUGGGAAACGAUGUGGGAAGGCCCAGACAGCCAGGAUGUUGGCUUAGAAGCAGCCAUCAUUUAAAGAAAGCGUAAUAGCUCACUGGUCGAGUCGGCCUGCGCGGAAGAUGUAACGGGGCUAAACCAUGCACCGAAGCUGCGGCAGCGACGCUUAUGCGUUGUUGGGUAGGGGAGCGUUCUGUAAGCCUGCGAAGGUGUACUGUGAGGUAUGCUGGAGGUAUCAGAAGUGCGAAUGCUGACAUAAGUAACGAUAAAGCGGGUGAAAAGCCCGCUCGCCGGAAGACCAAGGGUUCCUGUCCAACGUUAAUCGGGGCAGGGUGAGUCGACCCCUAAGGCGAGGCCGAAAGGCGUAGUCGAUGGGAAACAGGUUAAUAUUCCUGUACUUGGUGUUACUGCGAAGGGGGGACGGAGAAGGCUAUGUUGGCCGGGCGACGGUUGUCCCGGUUUAAGCGUGUAGGCUGGUUUUCCAGGCAAAUCCGGAAAAUCAAGGCUGAGGCGUGAUGACGAGGCACUACGGUGCUGAAGCAACAAAUGCCCUGCUUCCAGGAAAAGCCUCUAAGCAUCAGGUAACAUCAAAUCGUACCCCAAACCGACACAGGUGGUCAGGUAGAGAAUACCAAGGCGCUUGAGAGAACUCGGGUGAAGGAACUAGGCAAAAUGGUGCCGUAACUUCGGGAGAAGGCACGCUGAUAUGUAGGUGAAGUCCCUCGCGGAUGGAGCUGAAAUCAGUCGAAGAUACCAGCUGGCUGCAACUGUUUAUUAAAAACACAGCACUGUGCAAACACGAAAGUGGACGUAUACGGUGUGACGCCUGCCCGGUGCCGGAAGGUUAAUUGAUGGGGUUAGCGCAAGCGAAGCUCUUGAUCGAAGCCCCGGUAAACGGCGGCCGUAACUAUAACGGUCCUAAGGUAGCGAAAUUCCUUGUCGGGUAAGUUCCGACCUGCACGAAUGGCGUAAUGAUGGCCAGGCUGUCUCCACCCGAGACUCAGUGAAAUUGAACUCGCUGUGAAGAUGCAGUGUACCCGCGGCAAGACGGAAAGACCCCGUGAACCUUUACUAUAGCUUGACACUGAACAUUGAGCCUUGAUGUGUAGGAUAGGUGGGAGGCUUUGAAGUGUGGACGCCAGUCUGCAUGGAGCCGACCUUGAAAUACCACCCUUUAAUGUUUGAUGUUCUAACGUUGACCCGUAAUCCGGGUUGCGGACAGUGUCUGGUGGGUAGUUUGACUGGGGCGGUCUCCUCCUAAAGAGUAACGGAGGAGCACGAAGGUUGGCUAAUCCUGGUCGGACAUCAGGAGGUUAGUGCAAUGGCAUAAGCCAGCUUGACUGCGAGCGUGACGGCGCGAGCAGGUGCGAAAGCAGGUCAUAGUGAUCCGGUGGUUCUGAAUGGAAGGGCCAUCGCUCAACGGAUAAAAGGUACUCCGGGGAUAACAGGCUGAUACCGCCCAAGAGUUCAUAUCGACGGCGGUGUUUGGCACCUCGAUGUCGGCUCAUCACAUCCUGGGGCUGAAGUAGGUCCCAAGGGUAUGGCUGUUCGCCAUUUAAAGUGGUACGCGAGCUGGGUUUAGAACGUCGUGAGACAGUUCGGUCCCUAUCUGCCGUGGGCGCUGGAGAACUGAGGGGGGCUGCUCCUAGUACGAGAGGACCGGAGUGGACGCAUCACUGGUGUUCGGGUUGUCAUGCCAAUGGCACUGCCCGGUAGCUAAAUGCGGAAGAGAUAAGUGCUGAAAGCAUCUAAGCACGAAACUUGCCCCGAGAUGAGUUCUCCCUGACUCCUUGAGAGUCCUGAAGGAACGUUGAAGACGACGACGUUGAUAGGCCGGGUGUGUAAGCGCAGCGAUGCGUUGAGCUAACCGGUACUAAUGAACCGUGAGGCUUAACCUUACAACGCCGAAG
rnacentral:rRNA from 1 species